CCCCCAGCGGGUUGAUGGCGGAGGCGCAAGCCGCGUGGCAGGGACGUGGGCGCCCGGGGGCUGCUGGGAAAUGUAGUCUUGCUCUGCCGGGGGCAGGUGGCGGAAAGGUAAGGUGUUUGCUGACCCGCCUGUUUUUCUGGCCACUGGGACCUACAUUUCUGAGAUUAGUCUGAGUCAAAGACUAGUCACUGAGUGUGCAACCUGACAUUUCUCGCCCGCUUGGGGAGGCUGCAGCCAGCUAGCCAGUAAAUGAGCCCAGACUCCAAGCCAGGAGUUAGGCCUUAGAGUCUGAUUCCUGCUUGCUUCUCUCUGUUUUGAAGCUGUUAUGGAUCUUAACCAUGUCACCGUCCUCUUUCCCCGUACUCUAGUUUCCUCAUUACUCUGUUAGUUUCUGGGAGCCAGAAUUAGUCAAUCAAUGAUUCUUAAAAGACCUUCUAUGCACCUGUACCAAACAGGUUGCUGGGGUGGAGAAAUGCAGUGGUGAGUAGAAUGACUGAGGACACUAUUAUGAAAGUUACAUGUGCAGAUGUAACACAAUCCAUGUACAAAUACUCAAUACCAAACUGGAUAAGGCAAGUGACAGUGGUAGAGACCAAUAGCCAGCAGUGCUGAUAGAUGGCAUGCAGCAUUAACUGGUGUCAGCCAGUGGCAUCAGGGCCACUAGCAGAGCAGCACUUUGAUGAUUCAUGAUUUCUAUGUAAAUUGAGCAAAAGAACCCUCAACUGUCUACAAUUACUCCAGGACCAUAUACAUAUAAGGGCAAAUUGAGAGUAGUUACCAUCUUUAUGUCCCAUUUCAAAGGUGGGUGUCUUACUUGCUUUUCUUGUUACUGAGACAAAAUACCCAACACCCAAAGUUAAAGGAGGAAAAGUUUACUUAUCUCACAGUUUGUAGAGGUUUCACUCCAUAAUCAAUUGGCUCCAAGGUAAGGUGGCAUGGUAGAGAGGCAGUAGUUCAUGGUGGGCUGGGCAUGGUGACACUGACCUGUAAUCCCAGCACUCAGAAGGCUGAGGCAAGAGAAUUGCUGCAAGUUCAAGGCCAGCCUGGCCUACACAAUGAGUUAAAGCUCAGCCUGAAUAAUAUAGCAAGACCCUGUCUCAAAAGCAGGGUGGGGGUAGGGAUUUAGCUCAGCCACACAAGUGCUUGCCUGGCAAGCAUGAGGUUGUAAAUUCAAUCCCUGGUACAAAAAAAAAAAAAAAGCCAAUUCAUAGCAGUGGAAGACUGGAAACGAACAAGCCAGAAAUAAGACUCUUCUAUCCCUUAUGUUGUAUGUAGGGUACCUACCCUAGGGCAGGUGUAGUACUCACACCCUUAAUACUAGCACUGAACUAUGAAUCAAUCACAAACUAGAUUCAGUCGCCUCAAAAAGCCCACCCCCCCAUAACUGAAUAAGACUUUUGGGGGACAUCAAGACAUAAACCACAACAUUGGGCUCUCCACUCACCUCCAUCAGAUUGUUACUAAAAUGAAUCUUAGACAUGUUAAAAAUUAAACAUAUAAAUGUAAAAGUGUAGUUCUGAAACUGGAUUGUAAUGAUGGUGAUAUGUCUCCAUGAAUUUACCAAAAAUUUCUGGGUUAUAUACCCAAAAUGGAAAAAAAAUUUAAAUGGGGGAAUUUUAAGAUAUAUAAAUUAUCUUAAUGAAACUGUUAAAAAUCCAAGGAUAAAAAUAGAAGUGAAUAGGGGCUGGAGGUUUAGCUCAGCGGCAUAAGUGCCUGCCUUGCAAGCAGGCAGUCGUGAGUUCGAUCCCCAGUACCAAUAAAAAGGAAAAAGACAAAAAAAAAAAAUAGAAGUGAAUAUAGGAUGAUAUUUUUAUGAUUUUGGUGUAGUAAAAGUCUCCUUAGGUAUAAAGUAGAGCCAGAUGUGAUGGCACACACCUAUAAUCCCAGCACUCAGGAGGCUGAAAUAGGCCAGCCUGGGGUACAUAAUGAAUUUAAAAUGAGCCUGCACUACUUAGAAAGACCCUGUCUCUGAACAGCUAAGCAAACCAAAAAUGUAAAACUCAGAGCCAUGAAUAGAAGAUUAGUAAAAUUUAAAAUAGGAUAAUGUUGGGCGCAGGCGCUCAACAUACCAUACCCCAGCCGGGACUAAGGACCACGCCAGCUUCCGCAAUGCGCUACGUUCCUCUUUAAAUUAGCCAACCCGUGCGCACCCCGCGCUCUACUCCGUACUCUGUGGCAACUCCUGAUUGGCCACAGCUGGAUAUAGUAGCCAGAGCCUGCAUCCCAUUCCCACCCUGCUUCCUUGUGGCAGCCUGUGAUUGGUCACGGCCAAAUAUAUAAACCAGAGCCCGUGUAAAUAAACUAGCAGUUAACUGUCGUCCACAAAAGCGUCUCCUGUCUCCUGUUUCAUUGGGGCUGCGCCGGUCAACUGGUGGCCUGUACGGGGAGCCCGGAGCGCUGAGACCCUCUCUCCGACAGUACGAGGAACCAACCUCUCUCUCCGACGGAACAGAGACGUUAACAGGAAGAAGGCAGCAAACCUGUCUGGGUCCCGGAACGCCUGAUACGCCCCUGCAAACCACCAGACCCCGACCCAGAGGAAACGUCAACCACAGAACAGGGGAACCAACAGGAGCCUCACAAGCCAGACCUAGCAAGUAUACCCACAACUCCCAUUAACUAUGGCACCUUGGCCAACUCCCCUGGUUAGUAGCCUCCUUUUCCCCUCCUUCUUGCAUCUCGUACGGCCCUUGCAGCCAAUGACUUUUCUAAAUUGCUCCACUGCAACCUGUUAUAUGUUACAAUGUUGGGAUAACAGUGCACUUUCAGCUGUUGUUAUGCAGGUACUCCAGUUCGUACCGAUUCCAGUUAUAACGGACCCAGACGAGUUUCCUGUGAUCCAGCUCAGGCCAACUCUCCAAUUGGCUUUCAUAAAGGAAUGGGCAGGAACAGGGGCUCUGGCUACUGUAGGGAGCCGAGUGACAGGCAUUGCUGCCUAGAUGUCUCUCUCUCUCUCUCCUAUGGGCACUGCGUCUGCCUACAUUAACCAUAAUCCUCUUUUGCUUACGUCACUUAUCUGGAUGUGAUGGUAACCCUGUUGUAUUCAUCUGUUUAACCUCUUCCUGUCCCUGCUCCCGCCCUUAGCCUAUAAAAGGUGUGAUUAUUUUCUCAAUAAACGGGAGGCUUGAUUGGGUCACAUCAACUUGCCUUCGUCUCUUUUUGUCUCCCCCAUGUCUUUUAUUUAAUCCCCGUUUCCCCUCCAGGAGCUCUAAACUUGUUGAUCUACAGGCCGGAUCAAGUGGCGCCCAACGUGGGGCUCCUGGCACGGAGAAGUUAACGAGGGAGCCGUUCAAGAGACAGCCGGCUUAAACCGAAAGUGAAAGCAAAUUAAACCAGAGACCUCGGCCGAGGAAUGAGUAAACUAAAUCAAGGAUUAAAGCUUAAAGCAACAGGACAUUAAAUCAAGUGCCGAGACUGCGCAGACGACUACCCGACGUCCUGCCCGAGUCACGGAAUAAUGUUAUUUCCUGAGGCACAAUCCCCUGUGUUCUCUUACAGGUGACACAUCUCCCUGGAGCCUUAUGCUGCUUAACCAGCCUUCUUGAGCCACACCACACCCAUGGUGGAUUUCGACCCCUGCCAAACAGACUACAACUGCUGACAGCCAUGCACAAAACCCCAUGACUGCGGAAGAGGCUCUUCUCGGUCUGGAAAAACAUACACCAGUCAAACAGACUGCAUCCAGUGUUAUACAAGGCAUUGCUCCAAGACACAGGAGAAUGACUUCAUACAGAGACACCAACAAAUGGCUGUCAACCCCUUCUCCUUGAUUUUGGGAGGGGGAGGUUUCCCUUACCUAAUCCCCCUUUUGGGUCCCCUAGCUGACCUAUUGUUUCUCAUUUCUGUGAGUCUUGUAUUUUUCAGAGGAUUAUGAUGUUCAUUAAUAACCGGAUAGACACAUUUAUGACAAAGCCCAUUCAGGUACACUAUCAUCAGCUGGAGAUGACAGAUCAACAAACCUACAGGGAAAGAAUUCCCACGAGUGGCCCAUAUGAUGAUGCGGCCUGACUGCCCUGGGGCAAUGGACAGGCAGUCAGAGACGGGCAACUAGGACAUGCAUGUUAAUUCCAAUGGCCACCUAAGACAGGCACAGGACCAACUGCUGUUCUGCAAGCCCAUGACGGGUAAGGCCUGGUUGGGUUCAUGCAAUGAGGUCCUUGACCUAAGACAGACGCUGUUCUCACAGGGCCUGCCAUACUCUUAAUUAAAUAAUAUAAAAAGGGAGGAGAUGUAGGGAGCCGAGUGACAGGCAUUGCUGCCUAGAUGUCUCUCUCUCUCUCUCCUAUGGGCACUGCGUCUGCCUACAUUAACCAUAAUCCUCUUCUGCUUACGUCACUUAUCCGGAUGUGAUGGUAACCCUGUUGUAUUCAUCUGUUUAACCUCUUCCUGUCCCUGCUCCUGCCCUUAGCCUAUAAAAGGUGUGAUUAUUUUCUCAAUAAACGGGAGGCUUGAUUGGGUCACAUCAA